GGGCUUGACAUCCCACGAACCUGCCCGAAAGGGUCGGGUGCCCGCAAGGGAGCGUGGAGACAGGUGGUGCAUGGCUGUCGUCAGCUCGUGUCGUGAGAUGUUGGGUUAAGUCCCGCAACGAGCGCAACCCUCACCCCUUGUUGCCACCGGGUCAUGCCGAGCACUCUAGGGGAACUGCCAGCGUCAAGCUGGAGGAAGGCGGGGAUGACGUCAAGUCAUCAUGCCCCUUACGCCCUGGGCAACACACGUGCUACAAUGGCUGGUACAAAGGGAUGCAAGACCGCGAGGUGGAGCUAAUCCCAAAAAACCAGUCUAAGUUCAGAUUGCAGUCUGCAACUCGACUCCGUGAAGGAGGAAUCGCUAGUAAUCGCGCAUCAGCACGACGCGGUGAAUACGUUCCCGGGCCUUGUACACACCGCCCGUCACACCACGAAAGCCGGCUGUACUCGAAGUCGCUGAG
rnacentral:rRNA from 1 species